CUUGACCCUGGGGUUAUCAACACUGUGCUGUAGCCAACUGAGGUGUUCAUUUUUUUUUUUCUGAAAGAAGAGGAUAUGGAAUUGUUAAACUCAACGAACAGUAGCACAAAACUGAUCCAUCUCACCUACCCAUUAUGGAAAGGAUGAAUGAAAACUGGGAUAGGUUUUUACACGAAACAGAUUCAUUGUUGUUAAAUAAAGAGCAUUUUCUAUCUA